AUCUGAUUGUUUUAGGUCUGGGACUUCCUGGGGCUGCAUUCCUAGGACAGGCUGGGUGCACCUGGAUUUGGCUUAAUCCAAAUCGAUGGAUAUGCAACGACACUGCUUCACACGCGUGACUCUCUUCUUCUUGCAGGAUGGAUUAACCUCUCUGCCCAGAGGACUACAUUCCUCCAGAAAUGUCCCAGUCUUUUCUCCCCAGCUAGCCUGAGCCUUCCUGAGCUGGGAAUGCUUCUGAGACGUUGCAUUUUUAUCCUAUGUGGAAGGAGAGAUUCGUGGAGACCAGAAUGCAUUUGACAGAGGGAAAACAACAAAGCAGGAAAGAGAGAAGUAAACACCAACUUCAAGAAUGGCAAUCGGUAUCUCAGCUUCUCAUAGAACAGCAAUGCUCUGAGGCACACUAGCUGCUCUACAUGAGUGACAGUAAGCAGGACAAGUUGCACCAAGGAGAUAAGAAGAGUCCCUUGCUGGCACACAGGUAGAGGAUAAAGUCUCAUCGCCUUUGUGUUGUAAGAACCCUGAACAGCCUCUCUAGUCUGAAGACCACGUUGGCUAAAUCAGGCUAGGGCCCAACAUUGCAUAGGACAGGGAGGAGACCACCUGGUUGUGAAAUAUCUCAGGAGCUCUAUGUUUGUCAAAGAUUUUCUUAGGAAAGUUAAUGACUAUAUACAAUUCUUGAGAUCAACAACAAACGAGUUAGAAAGUAAUAAAUAUUAACCGUUCACUGAGCAGCACUGCUGAGAGACGGCCAAGUUACGGGUUCUAUUCUGUAGUGAAAGAUGUGUUAGUCACUGCGUAAC